CGACCUCAGAUCAGACGAGAUUACCCGCUAAAUUUAAGCAUAUCAAUAAGCGGUGGAAAAGAAACGAAAACGAAUUCUCCAAGUAGCGGCGAGCGAAACGAGAAAAGUCCAUACACCGAAGUCGGCGAGCAGUUGUGUUCGUCAACAGUGUGGUGUUAAAGGUGUCGUUGCAUGUGCUGAAAUCAGUUCGUAGGCUCCCUUGAUUGGGGCUUCAGAGCGGGUGCAGGACCCAUAACGAACGAUGUUUUGUGCAUGGUGUCGCGGCUCCUAAUCGAGUCGGGUUGCUUGAGACUGCAGCCCAAAGCGGGUGGUAAAUCUCACCCAAGACUAAAUAUUCGUACGAGACCGAUAGCGAACAAGUACCGCGAGGGAAAG
rnacentral:ncRNA from 1 species